rnacentral:rRNA from 1 species
CUCAGAAUGAACGUUGGCGGCGUGGAUUAGGCAUGCAAGUCGAGCGAGAACCGGUUUCGGCCGUUUUACAGCGGCGAACGGCGUAGUAAUGCAUCGGAACGUACCCUCUGGUCGGGGAUAGCUACGGGAAACUGUAGGUAAUACCCGAUGAUCUCUGCGGAGCAAAGGUGAGAUUCCGCCGGAGGAGCGGCUGAUGUGAUAUUAGCUAGUUGGUGGGGUAAUGGCCUACCAAGGCGAUGAUGUCUAGGGGGUGUGAGAGCAUGGCCCCCACGACCGGAACUGAGAUACUGUCCGGACACCUACGGGUGGCUGCAGUCGAGAAUCUUCCGCAAUGGACUAUUUUUUGACCCACCCACGCCGCGUGCGGGAUGAAGGCCCUUGGGUUGUAAACCGCUGUCAGAGGGGAUGAAAUCUUCGGAGGUACUCCUCCGAAGUUGACAGAGCCUCAAAGGAAGCACGGGUUAAGUACGUGCCAGCAGCCGCGGUAACACGUACUGUGCGAACGUUAUUCGGAAUCACUGGGCUUAAAGGGUGCGUAGGCGGCGAAUCAAGUCAGGUGUGAAAGGCCUGAGCUCAACUGAGGCAUUGCGCUUGAAACUGAUUUGCUUGAGUAUCCCAGGGGUGUGCGGAACUGCCAGUGGAGCGGUGAAAUGUGUUGAUAAAAAAGGAACACCGGAGGCGAAAGCGGCACACUGGGGGAUAACUGACGCUGAGGCACGAAAGCCAGGGGAGCUAAAGGGAUUAGAUACCCCGGUAGUCCUGGCUGUAAAC